UAAAAUCAUCGUUAUUCUGCGUACUUUUACAUUCUCACUCAACAACAUGACCAUACCAUCACUAAAACUCACUCCUGCAAGGAUGAAACACUAGGUCUAGUUCAAACUCUCCGAACCACUGAAGCCGUCACUAAAACUCACUCUUGCAAGGAUGAAACACUAGGUCUAGUUCAAACUCCCCGAACCACUGAAGCUGUCACUAAAACUCACUCUUGCAAGGAUAAAACACUAGGUCUAAUUUAAACUCCCCGAACCACUGAAGCUGUCACUAAAACUCACUCUUGCAAGGAUAAAACACUAGGUCUAAUUUAAACUCCCCGAACCACUGAAGCUGUCACUAAAACUCAUUCUUGCAAGGAUGAAACACUAGGUCUAAUUUAAACUCCCCGAACCACUGAAGCUGUCACUAAAACUCAUUCUUGCAAGGAUAAAACACUAGGUCUAAUUUAAACUCCCCGAACCACUGAAGCGGUCACUAAAACUCACUCUUGCAAGGAUGAAACACUAGGUCUAGUUCAAACUCCCCGAACCACUGAAGUUGACAAAGUCCUGCUUUAACCGACUAUUACACCAUGGGACGGUGCCAGAAAAGAACAUUACGGAGACAGUUCUAUCAUAGGCAUACCACCAGAAUCUUAUAUGCCGCCUUCCAGGAAGUGAUCAAAAGGAUAAGAAGGUUCUAAAAUCUUUCCCACAUCAGUGCUGCCAGAUAUGAAUUACAGAUUACCAACAAAUACCACUACAUGAUCACACU